ensembl:lncRNA
AUGAAGGGAUCAAGAAAGCCCUUCUGGACAAGAGCCUCAUCCUGGUGUGGGGACUGUGGACAUCUAUGUCACUGGAAUAGAACCUCUGCUGGGCUCUGGCCUUCUGCAAAGUCACUGGGUAGAGAUGGGCCUUGUGUAUGUGCAUGCUGGCUCAGGACAGAGAGGCUCUCCAAAGGAGCCCCCAAAGUGACCCGCCUGGGUGCCAGGGAAGCAUUUGGUUGGCAAGAUGUCCUCACUGUGGAAAUCUGGAAUCCUGGAAAUAUUGAAGAAAGCAUUGACAUUAUGAGUGUGUGUGUGCGGGAGGAUCUGAGCACAUGAUUUCAUUGAGAUAGCAACGUCCUCGUGUGGAAACUCCCUUCACAGAUGUAGAUGGGCAGCUGCUUGGUAACUCGGAAGCUUAGAGAAUCCCUUGAGGCCCUGGGAAGUCCUCCACCUUGCCCAGGGUUGGACAGUGUUGUCUGUCACCAGAGGUCCAGGAGGGACUUUUCUCUGAGGUGGCCCUGAGAUAAUCUCCUAGGCUGUAGCAACUCUACAGGAAGAGUUCUAGAAGUUGCAGAAGGUAUGAAUCAGCCCUGGUGGAAGGAUGGGUGCUGCCAACAAAAAUCACAUGUCCUUGAAGGAUGAGUGUAGAGCAGCACAGUGUUCUACGCUGAGGAGGUUAUGCAGGGGAGGACGGGAUGGUAUGAUGUGGGGUGGUUCAUCCUACCCCAGCGUAGCAUAGGAACCCGUGUGUGCUCUGGAUCAAAGCAGAAGUCGAGGUAGAUCAAAUAGAAUCCUCAAGGGUCGAGGUUGUGCAACGCUAUGCUAGCUUAUACUCAUGUCCCCCUCAUAUUACAUUAUGCUGUUUUUAAAAAUGAUUUUAUUUCCAUGAACAGAAAUCUAUUUUUCCUCCUCUCUUGGAAGAGACAAAAGAAAAAAGCAGCAAAUACAGAUAGUGACACAUCUUAGCAAACACGGCCCAACAAAACAAACACCCAAAUUGGCCGUGUCCAAAAUGCCCGUCCCAUUCCGUACCCUGAGUGUGUCAGCUCUCUGCGAGAAGGUGAGUACUUUGCUUUAUCGUCGAUUCUCGGGAAUCAUGGCUGAUCACCAAAUUAAUCCAAAUUUUUAAGUCUUUCAGGAUUGUUUUGUCUCUACAAUGUUGUUAUUUCUGUAUAAAUUAUCCUGCCUCUGCAGAUUUCGCUCUGCAUCAGUUCUCACAGGUCUUCUGAGAUUUCUGUCAGAUCAUCCUUCUCAUCAUACCUUACAUCCUGAUAUCAUUCCAUUACAUUCUUACACCACAAAUCAUUCAGUUAUUCCUUAAUGGAUGGGCACCCCCUCAGUUUCCCAGUUCUUUGCAACUACAAAAAAAAAAAAGCUGUUACAGUUUUGAAUGCAUGGCUCCUUUUCUUCUUUUGUUUUGUAUAAUCCUAGCAGUGGCAUUGCUGGCUCUGAGGCUGUAUAGAGUUUUUAGUGACUUCAGGGGCCAUAAUUCUAAACUACUUUCCAGAAUGGCAGCUCCACCAACCAACUUUUGGUCAUUUUCCUUUUUUUGGUACACUUUGCCAAUAUGUGAAGUAGGGAGAACCUCAGAGUUGUUUUAAUUUGUUUUUCUCUAAUUAUUAAUGAUUUACAGCUUUUUAAAUAUAUGGCUAUUAAUAGUAUCUGAAGUCAGGAAGACCCAAGUUCAAAUGUGACCUCAGACACUUAGUAGCUGUAUGACCUGGGCAAGUCGCUUAAUUCUGUUUGCCUCAGUUUUCUCAUCUCUCAAAUGAGCUGAAGAAGAAAUAGCAAACCAUUCCAGUAUCUUUGGCAAGAAAACCUCCCCAAAGGGUCAUAAACAGUUGGACAUAGCUGAAAACUGCUGAACAGCAACCACUAAUAGCUUGGCUUUCUUCCUUAGAAAAGAGUGAAUUGAUAUCUUAAAUAUUUAGCCCUUGAGGGAUGGCUUUCAUUCUUGUAAAUUCGAGUCAGUUCCUUAUGUAUCUUGGAAAUGGGGCCUUUCAUCAGAGGAACUUGUCGCAAAGAUUUUUCUUUUCCCUCAGAGCCUUGUUUCUCUUCUAAUUUCAGCUACACUGGUGUUGUCUGUACAAACUCUUUUCAAUUUUGACAUAACCAAAAUUGUCCGUGUUAUCUUUUGUGAUCUUCUCUGCCUCUCAUUUUGUCGUUUACUGUGCACAUAUCCAAGGAUAGGAAAGGUGAUUUCUUCCUUGCUUCUCUAAUCUCUGAAGUUACCCUUUAUGUGGGUAAGUUGGUUAUGUUAUAGUAUGUGGUUGUAAGCUGGGUUAUUUUAUGUUACAUUAUGUUACAUUUUUUUUGUUAUGGCAGAUGCCAUGACCAUCAUCACAUCACAGCAUGUCAUAUCGCAGUAUGCCAUGUCAUACCAAGUCAUGUAGUGUGUUAUGUUAUACAACAGCAGUUGACUACUCCAUUAGAAAACAUUUCAAAGCUUUCUAGAAUGGAGGAAAGACAUUUUGGGAGGAGAUAGAAAUGAUUCUUGGACUUUCUAAAACUGCAUUUGAAAUGGAGAGAAAAAAAGUUACCCCAAACCUUUGAUUUCACAAGGAUCACAGUGACUGCAUCUUGAGGCCGUGAUCAGGCAUAGGAGAAAGAGACUGGAUAGGGUAAGAAGGCUAAUAAGCCAAGUUACCAUGAAAACCAAAAAAAGCCCACACAAUCCUAGGAUAUUGUUAACAGCAGCCGGUAGCCAGGGUCCAUCUUGAGGACUGACUUGAAGGAUUAAUGGUGGCUCCCUGGUUGUCUCCCAGCAGAGGCUGGGCACCUGCUUGUUGGAGAAACUUGGAUCUCCUCCGAGGGCCCUCCAAGGCUAAGACUGAGUGGUCAGUGGUCUGGUCUGAGUGUGACCCUUUAAGAGGGGCAUUGACACUUAGAACGUGUCUAAAGGAAAAUAAUGGAACUUGACGCAGACUCAAAGCACUGUCUUAUUCACAGCACAUGAAGGAACUUGGAAUAGUUAGCUGGGAGAGGUACUUAGUAGGACCAUGUGUGUGAACUGUCUUUGGCAUAUAAAGGGUUUCUUUCCUAAUAAUUAGAACUGACAGAAAAUGGGAUGGGCUGCAUUGUGUCUGGUGAAUGGGUUGCCCAUCACUAGACGUAUUCAAGCAGAGGGGUCUCGUGGCCAUUUACUGGGGGAUGAUGUUAAAGUCCCUUCUUACCUGGAGAUCCUCUGGUUCUACCUUGUUCUUGAGCAGUCUUUCAUUGAUUUACAGUUGCUGAUGAAUAAAUCUCUUUUCUUGUGCUGGAGGGAGGAAAGU